GAUGAACGCUGACAGCAUGCUUAACACAUGCAAGUCCACUUUGGCGGACGGGUGAGUAACGCGUACAGAACUUGCCUCCCAGCUAGGGACACCAUUUGGAAACGAAUGCUAAUACCUGAUACUGUGAGAGAGCUUUGCGUCCCAUUAGCUAGUUGGAGAGGUAACGGCUCACCAAGGCGAUGAUGGGUAGCCGGCCUGAGAGGGUGAUCGGCCACAAGGGGACUGGGACACGGCCCUUAGUAGUACGGGAGGCAGCAGUAGGGAAUAUGGGACAAUGGAGCAAAGUGUGAUCCAGCAAUUGUGUGUGCACGAUGAAGUUUUCGGAAUGUAAAGUGCUUUCAGUUGGGAAGCGGUAACAACAGAAGAAGGGACGGCUAAAUACGUGCCAGCAGCCGCGGUAAUUC
rnacentral:rRNA from 1 species